GACAGAGGGUGCAAACGUUGCUCGGAAUCACUGGGCGUAAAGGGCGUGUAGGCGGGUAGAUAAGUCGGGCGUGAAAUCCCUAGGCUCAACCUAGGAACUGCACUCGAAACUGUUUAUCUUGAGUGCCGGAGAGGAAAGCGGAAUUCCUGGUGUAGAGGUGAAAUUCGUAGAUAUCAGGAGGAACACCAGUGGCGAAGGCGGCUUUCUGGACGGUAACUGGACG
rnacentral:rRNA from 1 species